rnacentral:rRNA from 1 species
GACGAACGCUGGCGGCGUGCUUAACACAUGCAAGUCGAACGGAAAGGCCCUGCUUUUGUGGGGUUCUCGAGUGGCGAACGUGUGUGUAACACGUGAGUCACCUGCCCUUUACUUUGGGAUAACUUCAGGAAACUGGUGCUAAUACCGGAUAGGAGCUCCUGCUGCAUGGUGGGGUUUGGAAAGUUUCGGCGGUUGGGGAUGGACUCGCGGCUUAUCAGCUUGUUGGUGGGGUAGUGGCUUACCAAGGCUUUGACGGGUAGCCGGCCUGAGAGGGUGACCGGCCACAUUGGGACUGAGAUACGGCCCAGACUCCUACGGGAGGCAGCAGUGGGGAAUAUUGCACAAUGGGCGGAAGCCUGAUGCAGCAACGCCGCGUGCGGGAUGACGGCCUUCGGGUUGUAAACCGCUUUCGCCUGUGACGAAGCGUGAGUGACGGUAAUGGGUAAAGAAGCACCGGCUAACUACGUG